UCGAGAAUUUUUCACAAUGGGCGAAAGCCUGAUGGAGCGACGCCGCGUGGGGGAUGAAUGGCUUCGGCCCGUAAACCCCUGUCAUUUGCGAAUAAACUCUGGGAUUUAAAAGAUCUCGGAUUGAAAGUAGCAGAAGAGGAAGGGACGGCUAACUCUGUGCCAGCAGCCGCGGUAAUACAGAGGUCCCAAGCGUUGUUCGGAUUUACUGGGCGUAAAGGGUGCGUAGGUGGUAGGGUAAGUUCAGGGUGAAAUCUUCGGGCUCAACCCGAAAAUUGCCUCGAAAACUAUCCUGCUAGAGGAUCAGAGGGGAGACUGGAAUUCUCGGUGUAGCAGUGAAAUGCGUAGAUAUCGAGAGGAACACCUGUGGCGAAGGCGAGUCUCUGGAUGAUUCCUGACACUGAGGCACGAAAGCCAGGGGAGCAAACG
rnacentral:rRNA from 1 species